CUAGCCCAAGUGGCCCGCCCUAUUGUCGGAUCUUGGAACUCCGGUGAUGCUCUUUCCAAUCGCACUGACGCCUGUGGCUUUUGCUGCUGCUGCUGCAUGGCCUGCACCGCUUUGGUGAGGUCUCUAAUCUAUUGAACCAGCAGGUCAAACUGCUCCAUACCGAUCAUCGUUGCUGGAGGAGGAGGAGGAGGAGCCUGAGAAAUUGGAGGCG
rnacentral:lncRNA from 1 species